GGUCUUCGGACUGUAAACUUCUGUUAUAAAGGAAGAAAGGCGGAUACAGGGAAUGGUAUCCGAGUGACGGUACUUUAUGAGGAAGCCACGGCUAACUACGUGCCAGCAGCCGCGGUAAUACGUAGGUGGCAAGCGUUAUCCGGAAUUAUUGGGCGUAAAGAGGGAGCAGGCGGCAGCAAGGGUCUGUGGUGAAAGACUGAAGCUUAACUUCAGUAAGCCAUAGAAACCGGGCAGCUAGAGUGCAGGAGAGGAUCGUGGAAUUCCAUGUGUAGCGGUGAAAUGCGUAGAUAUAUGGAGGAACACCAGUGGCGAAGGCGACGAUCUGGCCUGCAACUGACGCUCAGUCCCGAAAGCGUGGGGAGCAAAUAGGAUUAGAUACCCUAGUAGUCCACGCCGUAAACGAUGAGUACUAAGUGUUGGGAGUCAAAUCUCAGUGCUGCAGUUAACGCAGUAAGUACUCCGCCUGAGUAGUACGUUCGCAAGAAUGAAACUCAAAGGAAUUGACGGGGGCCCGCACAAGCGGUGGAGCAUGUGGUUUAAUUCGAAGCAACGCGAAGAACCUUACCAGGUCUUGACAUACUCAUAAAGGCUCCAGAGAUGGAGAGAUAGAUAUAUGGGAUACAGGUGGUGCAUGGUUGUCGUCAGCUCGUGUCGUGAGAUGUUGGGUUAAGUCCCGCAACGAGCGCAACCCUUAUCGUUAGUUACCAUCAUUAAGUUGGGGACUCUAGCGAGACUGCCAGUGACAAGCUGGAGGAAGGCGGGGAUGACGUCAAAUCAUCAUGCCCCUUAUGACCUGGGCUACACACGUGCUACAAUGGAUGGAGCAGAGGGAAGCGAAGCCGCGAGGUGGAGCGAAACCCAGAAAACCAUUCUCAGUUCGGAUUGUAGUCUGCAACUCGACUACAUGAAGUUGGAAUCGCUAGUAAUCGCGAA
rnacentral:rRNA from 1 species